rnacentral:tRNA from 1 species
GGCUCGUUGGUCUAGGGGUAUGAUUCUUGCUUAGGGUGCGAGAGGUCCAGGGUUCAAAUCCCGGAUGAGCAC